UACGGAGGGUGCAAACGUUGCUCGGAAUCAUUGGGCGUAAAGGGCUCGUAGGCGGCCAACUAAGUCAGACGUGAAAUCCCUCGGCUUAACCGGGGAACUGCGUCUGAUACUGGAUGGCUUGAGAUUGGGAGAGGGAUGCGGAAUUCCCGGUGUAGUGGUGAAAUGCGUAGAUAUCGGGAGGAACACCAGUGGCGAAGGCGGCCUUCUGGACGGUGACUGACGCUGAGACGCGAAAGCGUGGGGGAGCAAACAGG
rnacentral:rRNA from 1 species